rnacentral:hammerhead_ribozyme from 1 species
AUCCAGCUGACGAGUCCCAUAUAGGACGAAACGCACGUCUUGGAU